rnacentral:rRNA from 1 species
GACGAACGCUGGCGGCGUGCUUAACACAUGCAAGUCGAACGGAAAGGCCCUGCUUUUGUGGGGUGCUCGAGUGGCGAACGGGUGAGUAACACGUGAGUAACCUGCCCUUGAUUUUGGGAUAACUUCAGGAAACUGGGGCUAAUACCGGAUAGGAGCUCCUGCUGCAUGGUGGGGGUUGGAAAGUUUCGGCGGUUGGGGAUGGACUCGCGGCUUAUCAGCUUGUUGGUGGGGUAGUGGCUUACCAAGGCUUUGACGGGUAGCCGGCCUGAGAGGGUGACCGGCCACAUUGGGACUGAGAUACGGCCCAGACACCUACGGGAGGCAGCAGUGGGGAAUAUUGCACAAUGGGCGGAAGCCUGUUGCAGCAACGCCGCGUGCGGGAUGACGGCCUUCGGGUUGUAAACCGCUUUCGCCUGUGACGAAGCGUGAGUGACGGUAAUGGGUAAAGAAGCACCGGCUAACUACGUG